CCUACGGGUGGCAGCAGUAGGGAAUAUUGCUCAAUGGGGGAAACCCUGAAGCAGCAACGCCGCGUGGAGGAUGAAGGUUUUCGGAUUGUAAACUCCUUUUGUUAGAGAAGAUAAUGUCCGUAUCUAACGAAUAAGCACCGGCUAAUUCCGUGCCAGCAGCCGCGGUAAUACGGAGGGUGCAAGCGUUACUCGGAAUCACUGGGCGUAAAGAGCGCGUAGGCGGUAUAGCAAGUCAGAUGUGAAAUCCUAUGGGUUAAACAUAGAACUGCAUUUGAAACUGUUAUACUAGAGUAUGGGAGAGGUAGGCGGAAUGCUUGGUGUAGCGGUAAAAUCCGUAGAUAUCAAGAGGAAUACUCAUUGCGAAGGCAACCUGCUAGAACAUAACUGACGCUGAUGCACGAAAGCGUGGGGAGCAAACAGGAUUAGAUACCCGAGUAGUC
rnacentral:rRNA from 1 species